rnacentral:lncRNA from 10 species
GCACCUCAGAGCAGUCCUGUGGUGGGGGUGCUCCCCUUGCUCACCCAGGCAGCCAGUUCUUCCUCCACCAGGUGGCCCUGGAGCUUGGUGGCUCUGGCCCUCAAACUUUCCUCCUCCAUGCUCACAGCUGACCAAGCCUGUGGCCCUGCGAUCCUGCUCUGAGGGGGUUCCUGACUUGGACCAUGGGUGGGGCCAAGGACGGCCUGACAUUCUGUCCUUCCCUGCUGAUGGCCCAGUGCCCCACAUUCUCUGCAGAGAUGAAAUCCCACAUCCCUGGGCUAGUCAAGUGAAGCAAUGGGAGUGGAGAUGGAACAAAGAAAUCUGCAAUUGGUUGUGAUCAAUUAGUUGUAAACACUACUGCACUUGGACCAACCUCUUCCUUUUCCUGACUGCUUAGGAAGGAUGGAAUGUAUUUCCUUCCUUCUGGGAGUGUUUGAAUGAAGAUUAGACUCUCCUUGACCAUGAAUGAAGAGCAACCAGUUUUUUAGUAUACAGUGAUUUAGACUCUGGGUCUAGAGUGUAGAUAUCAUGGGCACUGUGAAAGCACAGAAGGAGAAAAGGUUUUUAUGUGAGUAUAUGGGAGAGGAAAUAGUUUAUUGUCAUAAGCUUUUUGGCUAUGGCCUCCAUUACAUCUCUAGCUUUUGGAAGGCACUAAAUUGAGGCCAUUCAAAUCCAUGUCCACCUAUCCUUUGCCCGUCACGAGACUGAUGGCUUAGGAAGCAUGUGGUCUAGGUACUAGAGAGGGAGCCUGACCCACCUACCUCACCGCUGCUGCUGAAUUUGUGCACAACUCUCUGACCUGGUUCCAUGUCACAAAGGGUUUCAUUCUCUCUGAUUCCCUGAAUCCCCAGCUCUAGCCGCAGAUCCUGGAACCCUAGCAUAUGCCUGAAGCUGAAUAUUUUACUUGCCAGAGUAAGAGUUUUUACAUAGACUCUGUCAUCUUCUACUGGCCCUCCUCUUAAACUGAGGCAGCGGCUGCUAGCUACUCACCAAACCUAUUUUACUUUCUUUUUCUUUUUUUUUUUUUUUUUUUGAGACAGAGUCUUGCUCUGUCGCCCAGACUGGAGUGCAGUGGUAUGAUCUCGGCUCACUGCAACCUCCGCCUCUCAGGUUCAAGCGAUUCUCCCACCGUAGCCUCCUGAGUCGAUGGGAUUACAGGUGUGUGCCACCACACCCAGCUAAUUUUUGUAUUUUUUGGUAGAGAUGGAGGUUUCACUAUGUUGGCCAGGCUAGUCUCUAACUCCUGACCUCAAAUGAUCCACCCACCUCAGCCUCCCAAAGUGCUGGGAUUACAGGCAUAAGCCACCGUGCCUGGCCCCCCAUUUUACUUUCUUCUUUAACAUAUAGUUAGAAUGAAAACAUGUUGAAGGGAUGAUGGCAUUAGAAAAUUACCACUGGCCACUAUCACAGUAAUAAUUGCUUUAGGCAAGAAUGAUCGAUAAAAGCUAAAAUUAAUGGGCAAAAGUAUGAUGAGAAACAGGAUAUUUAUACAAUCGCAAAGUGCCUCCCAAUAAGAUACUUAUUAAAAAGGUAAAAAUGGUAAUUUUCAGUGGAGAAAUAUGGCAGACACCAUAGUAACCAACUGAUCAAAGGGAACAUUGGCAUUAAUGGGACAAAUCAGCAUCACGUUUCUCUUGUCAUGAAGCACUGAGAAGGCCACAGCAUUGCUUCUGAAAUAUUGCAACAAAAAUGAAUAACUUGAAUCUAAUGAUGAGGAAACAUUGGAGAAAUCCAAACCUUGGAACACGCUACAAAACAACUAACUCGUACUCUGAGAAACAUAUCAGUGGACUGGAUUCCAAACAGUGGCUCAUGCCUGUAAUUUUAACACUUUGGGAGGCCAAGUUUGGUGGGGCUUUGUGUCUGAAUUCUGGCCAAUGGAACCACGUGGAGGCCUGGCCCAGAACAUCUCCCUGUGGAUUCUCUCAUCUGGCAACUGGAUGCCUACACGAAGGGUGAUUUUGGAGUCAUGUGUUGGAGAUCACAAAGCUUUUGUCAGCCAGGUUCCUGAAUGACUGCUAGACACCAUGGGCUGAACUUUAUGAGCUCCAGCACCACCUCCAGCCUUCAGUGACUGUCUGGAGCAGGCAUCCGGAUGGAAGAGAAGGGGGACAACCAUGAACUUGGUGACCCACGGUCAGCCUGAUUUCCCUUGUGGACACAUUUAUGCCCAGUGUGCAUUCCUCCUGAGGUCUGUUCCAAGUCUGGAGGCAGCAGAGUAGAGUGGAGAGAACAGUGGACUUGGAAUCUCACCUCCCAGAUUAGAGUCCUGGAUCUGACUUUGAUUGCUGGUGCUGCCUCGGGCAAGUUACUUUAGCUGUGUGCAUCUCCAUUUCCCCAUGGAUAGAACAUGGGUUUUGGGUAGAAGUGUCUGAUAGCUGUACUGUGCUUUACGGUUCAUGAGCACGCACACAUAGGCCCAUAAUAUCAUAUCUCUGGUCACCCUGGCAGGUAGAUAUUAUUGCCCCAGGUUUCAGGUAAGAAGACUAAAGACCAGGGGUCAAUUGCUUGCUCAGAGUCCCACAGCCAGCAGCAGCCAGGCAGGACACCAAGUCAGAGUCUAGAUUCCGGAUCUUGCCCUCUUCCAAGUGUACCACAUUCUUCUCAAAGUGGCCUCUCAGGUCUUUUGUCCAGAAAAUUUUGAGACUUUGAUGAGAAGCCCAUAUCUGCACACUGGGGAUUAGGCCAGAUAACCCUGUGUGUCCUUCCAGGCCUGGUAUUGUGAGGCUGAAGCCUAGUGCCCCACACUCCCUUCCUCACCCCUUAGAGAAAGAUAGAGACUCCAGGGCCAGCCUGGUGGGUGCUGAACCUGCCCUGCUGAGCCAAGCCCAGGAGGCAGCCAAGGUCCUACCAGUGACCUUACCCUGGGGGCCCCUCCAGGUAGGAGCCUGGUUGGAAAAGACAGACCGACUUCUUCUGGGUUGGCUGGAAAAAGAUGACAUACUCAAAGCCUUGUCCUUCCACUUGGAUGCACCUGGUGAAGAUGCGACAGUCACCUUUGUCUGGGGAGAGAUAGGCAGUGUUGCAGCCGGAGAAGGGAGGGUAUGGUCAGGAUGCAGCACCAUUUGGUUGAGUCUUGCCUCUGGUACAAGAUUAAGGAGAGAAAACCAGAGGACACCAGGUCCACCCCCAGGGAGCCUUCCCUCUGGGAGCAGAGGCACAGUUGCUGUCCUCACAGAGCCUUUCUGUCUAGGGCAGAAACAUGCAGGAAGUGCCCUGGCUGAGAAUGGAGAUAGGAUCAGGGCCAGGGCAAGACUUUAAGAGACCAUAAGCAUUGAAAAUUGAAAAUGUAAUUACUCAUGUAACUCACAUAUAAUUCAAAAGAAUAAUAGUAAACAGUAAAAUAAGAGCAGAAAAGUCCAUCAAAGUUCUGAUUUUUUUUUUCCAAGACAGCUACCACUACUACAUCCUUUUUUGGAAGUAUCAAAUUCUUUGAAAAAAAAUUAUGUUGGUAUUCCUGCUUUGUUUGUGCCAUAAACCCAAGGGUAGUCUGUCCCCUGUACCACUCCUUCAUCACUAGGCAGGAAGACAACAUAUAUGAGUGAGAGAGACAGGGAGAUACACAUGCGUGCACACACGAGUGCACACACACACACAAGAAGGUGGAAGCUCUAUCAUUAGGAUCCAUUAGGAUCAUUAGGUGUUUCAGGAGUGCUGCUCCAGACCCCGCACAGCAGGGAUGAUGUGCAGGGCCUCAGUGGAAGGGGUGUGGGGUCCAAGGGCUUUCAUGGGGUUGGGGCGGAAGGCUUGGGAUGAGGCUUGAUAGUUAGGGAGGGGCAGUCAGUGAGAAGUCGGGGCAGGAGCUGGGCUGGCUGUCCUCCAGUGGGGACAUGCUUGGCUGGGAGCGAAGGUGGGCCCACCAGGGUGUGCUGCUUCAGAUGGGAGGAGGGGAGCUGGAGACCUGAGAGGACACCCGCCGCCUGUUGCCUGGGGCUGCAGCAUCAGGGGUGGAGUUGGACAGCAGGAAGAACUCGCUGAGAACUGGAAGGCGGUCUGUGAAGUUGCUUCUCAGUCUUAGAACACAGGGAAGGGCGGCUGGGGUGUGUGUACUCAUGGUCCUGUCCUUACCUGAGGAAACUGCCAGUCCAGAUGGGAGCUUGAGUCCCCGGAUGUGGUCUCUGUUGGACUUGAAGGAGGGCAGCUUGAUCCAGCCGCUAGACUUAGUCUUCUCCAGAAAUUCUUGGUACAGGCUCAGCAUGUCCGAACACCAGCUGGCAUUGGGAAGAGCAUAAUCCUUCAAGUCUGUCUUCUCUGGCAAGAAUCUUGAGAACUGGGCAGGAAAAAUCAGAAUGACUAGACAGCAUCCUGGAGGGGGGCUGCUGCCUGGGCUCGGGACCUCUAAACAGCUGUUCCUGGGUGCUGGGGCUUCUCAAUCCCUUCUGCCAGAGUAUCGAUCCAAGGGAAAGGGCCCAUAUUCCUUGCAGGGGGGCUGCGGACCCCUAUGGGUGACGGGGCAUAAGGAUGCUAAAGAGCAAGGGAAGGGCGGGCAGGGAGUGGGGCCAGAGAUGAUGGGCAUGCUGCUCGAUGUGGUGCCUUACCCUUGUUCUGCUUAAAACAUGUGAGCAGUUCUUUAAAGUUGACAACUGCUCAUAUUAGCCUCACUGUACAGAUGGGGAAACUGAGGGAAUACGGCCAAGGUUGCCAAGCAUGUGACUGUGAGAGCUGGUGGUCGCACUAGAUGCUGUCUCCUCUGCAGGGCAGGGUCACAGUUGUUGAGGACCAUUCUAGCAACCCCCACCUCAGGGGCUACUCCAGCUCUGCCCACUGCUGUGGGCCUGCCUGGGCAGGGUGGCUCCUUUGAAACACAUUUGGGCCCCCACAGAGGUGUGGUGCCAUGGCUGGGGCACAGACUAUGUGCCCAUCUGUGUGACGUAAGGAAGUCCUCUGUAGCGUCACCUGCUCAUACACCAGUCACAACUGUAGACAGCAUGUGAGCUGCUUGCCAAUGCCACAGAUGGGGUCCUCUGUCUGGGGAUACCCCAGCUUUGCUGCAGUAGUCUGAGUCCCACAGGAGGAAAGUCAUUUGUUGGUGGCCACACAAGACACAGAGCCAGAUGCAGGUCUCCUGGUAGUUUUAGUUUUGAAUGGGGGCAACUUGGUAUCCCAGAGCACUUUCUCUUUGCCAAAUCAAAUAGCUCCUCCGAACACUGCCCACCUGCCCUGGCCAUGGGCUGGGAAGAGGAGAUUUGGGGUGCUCCUUAAGCCCUAGGCUCCUGGGAAAACACUGCCCAUCUGGCUGAGCUGGGAACUCACCAUGGAGUCUGUGGAGGAUCCAAAUGCUGAGGCAGGGUUGAGUCUGGGCAGGAUACGGGGGGCCUCAAGAAGGCCUCUGUGGUGGCCAAGUCUUGCUGCCACCUGGAAGCAUCUCCUUAUCAUGGCCAAGUGCAAGGAUCCAGCCCUGCUUGGAUGGAGGGUCUUGGCUGACUCCCAAGGAGUGCUUUCAGCUGCACUUGGGGCCGCUUCUCUCCCUUCUGUUGCAGGCUUUCUUUCAGAGAGCUAGGCGAGGCUGGGCUGGUGUGCUGCAACACCCACAGAUGCUCGGCGCCUUUAGCUGGUCUAGGAGCCCCACCCAGUGCUUGGGGAGGGACAGAUGCUGCUUGGGCAUGAAAAGGCAGCAGGACUGGCUUGAGUUGCAAAAGGAGUAAACAAGUACAUAAACAAAUAGUAUGGGGUAUAUAGAGCCUUGGAGAGCUGCCUGGGGGUUCUGAGGGAGAAUCCAAGAAUAUUUCCAGAAGGAUAAGGGAAGCCUGUCCCUUGAUUGGAGGGUGCUGGUGGAGUGUUCUUGGUAUGUGCUCUGCAGUGUAUACCGGACUCUGAAAACUCUGGUAUGAUUUUGUGACUCAGAAAACCAACGCACCCGGCCAACACCUCUUCUUAUAUCCCGGACAAGGGUUAGCACAGGAGAGUUUCACCUGCUGGUCUCUGGCUGGGGAUAGGAGUUGGAGGUGGGGGAGGGCUUGACAGGGAGGGCAGAAAAUAAUUUGGGAGGAAACAGCUUGGCAGGGAUACUCUCAUGUUUUGGGAACCCCGUGCCCAGGGAGUGGCUCAUGUCAGCAGGCAGUGCUGGGAGUGAGGUGGGCGCGGCAGUGAGGCUUUGUUGAGUGGGAAGGGACACUCAGCCAACAUCUGCAAGGCAGUGGGAUUUGGUGGUGGUGUGUCUUCUAUUGAAUUUAAACUGCCAAUUUUCAAUUAAAAGUCUCAGUUUUAAAUUGACUAAAAUAAAAGCAUGUUCUAAAGAUCAGUCCUCGCGCAGUGGCUCAAGGCUGUAAUCUCAGCAUUUUGGGAGGCCGAGUGAGACCUUGUCUUAAAAAAAAAAAAAUCAGAACUGUGCAAAGGUGGAAUCAUAACAGUGAUGAUGACGAUAAUAAUAGUUGUGAUGAUUAUGACAUUUUGGCAGGUUCCAAAAGAUGAAACUGAUUUAAUGCGGAAAUUUAAAAGAUUUGGUUCACCCUCUGUAUUUGGUUGCCCUAGAAGAAGACUAGAAUAUAAAUAUUUCCCCUCACCUCCUGCAAAGGUUUGAAUUAAACUUCCUCAAGGACUGGGGGAACCAUUUUUUUUUGUUGUUGUUAUUUUGUCAGAGUCUCACUCUUAUUGCCCAGGAGUGCAGUGGCACCAUCUCGGCUCACUGCAACCUCUGCCUCCCAGGCUCAAGCAAUUCUCCUGCCUCAGCCUCCCAAGUAGCUGGGAUUACAGGCGCUUGCUACUACGCCCGGCUAGUUUUUAUAUUUUUAGUAGAGACGGGGUUUCAUCAUGUUGGCCAGGCUGGUCUCAAACUCCUGGCCUUGGCUGAUCUGCCUGCCUCAGCGUCCCAAAGUGCUGGGAUUACAGGCAUGAGGCACCACGCCCAGCUGGAAGUUUUUUUGGUUGAUUCAGCCUCUGGGUCUAAGCAAAGAUAUUUGAGUUGGUUGCCAUCCCCAGAUAAGUGAGAAUAUCUGGCAGCACUCAUUUUCAGCCCUGGGCCGCAGCCGUUGCUGUGAGGCAGAAAUUAAAAAAAGAUAGUAAGUACUACAUUCAUUCACUCCAAGAAAAGUAACAGACAAGGCUAUAAGAAGGUCAUAGUGACCUAGUCUGAGAAGUAAAAGCCAAGGCCCAGAAUGUGGCAAGGCAAAGGUUAAAAAGAAAGGAAGAGCAAGUUUUUCUCUGCCUAGCAAGCUCACUUCAAAGACAAUUAUAAGAUAAUGCUCUUCGAGAAGUCGAAACCAAAGGAAUAGGCUCCAGACAUCCCCCGUCUGGAGCAAGGGUGAAGGAAAAAAAAAAAAGGACAAAUGUCUGUCUGUAUUUAGCCAGUUCUUGUUUUUUCUUUCCACGCAGCUACAAGGCCACCAGCUAUGCAAAGCCACAAGUUAUGCCAAGUCAUCAGUUAUGCUAUAGAUUAUGUGACCUGUCAUUAUAUGAUUAACUGCCUGUUUUGCUUCUGUAAGCCUGCUUAUAAAAAUCCUGCUCAGUCUUUGUUCAAUGCUCAGCUUUUUGGAUGUGAAUCCACUGAGCCAAUGCCUACCUUAAAAUAAACAUCGUCCUGUUUUUCCAUAUCUGUC